GUACUCAUUUCGGCAGCACAUAUACUAAAAUUGGAAUGAUACAAAGAAGAUUAGCAUGGCCCCUGCACAAGGAUGACACGCGAAUUCCCGAAGCAUUCCAUAUUUUU
ensembl:snRNA U6 U6 spliceosomal RNA